UUGAACCACCACACAAGCCUAGAUCAAGUCUAGAUCAGAAGAAUAGUUCAGGUACUACUUGAGGCACUGGAGGUAAUAAGGUAAAAAUGAAACAGCCCUCAUUCCUGAAGAAUUUACGAUUAACUAGAAGAAAUACCAUGCCCAUUAAAAAAAGGAAAAUAAGAUCUAUACAAAAGUCAACAAAAGGUUACCUUGGAUGGGAUAAGCCUAAUAGCUGAAGAGAACAGGAGAGGCUCCUGAAGAAGGCGGUAUUUGAGCUUAUUCUUAAAGGAAAUCAGGGACUCCAAAAGACAGAGGAAGGAUUUCUAACACAAUGAUGAAGUGUUCCUAUUGGUGAAUGACAUUAUUCUGAUUACUUCAAGUCCUAGAACACUGCAGAGAUUUUAAUCUACCUAUCCACUCAAGAAAAAUUGUAAACAUUGAAUUUUAAAUUUUAACCUUACAUUUAACCUCUAGCUCUAAAUAUCUGGUUGGAUAGUAGAUUUGAACAUCAUCUGUACAGAGAUAAUAAUUGAAUUUAUGGGAGUUGAUGAGAAAAGGACCCAAGACAGAGUUUUGGAAUACAUUCACAGUUUGCUGGCAUGACAUGGAUGAUUAGCUAGCAAAGGAAACUAAGAAGGAGCAGUCAAUAGACAGAAAGAGCGAACCAAGUUAUAGGAGCCCAGAGGAGAAAGGAUACAAGACAAGAACACUUGUCAACAACGCACAUGCUUUGGAGAUAGCAAGAAGGAUGAAAACUGGAAAAUGGGAGAUACGGGUAACUUUCUGGAGAGAAAUUUCAGUUGAAAGUUGAAUCAGCUUACCACCUGAAAGUGACAAGUACUGAGUAAAAUACUGUCAUAUUUUGAAAA